GGGGUGGUGGUGUAGUGGGCAGCACUGUCGCCUCACAGCCAGGUCCUGGGUUCGAAUUCCAGCCGGAGCC
rnacentral:tRNA from 1 species